GAGCGGUGACGACUACCGCGCCAAUUGUGAUGAUGGGUCUUAUCACACACCGUCUGAUCUUCAUCGGACGAUAGCAGGUGCUUCCGAGCUC